AUUGAACGCUGGCGGCAGGCCUAACACAUGCAAGUCGAGCGGAGCGGCGGACGGGUGAGUAAUGCCUAGGAAUCUGCCUGGUCGUGGGGGAGAACGUCCGGCAACGGGCGCUAAUACAGCAUACUAUCAGAUGAGCCUAGGUGGGUUUAGCUAGCUGGUGGGGUAAAGGCCUACCAAGGCGACGAUCCGUACCUGGUUUGAGAGGAUGAUCAGCCACACUGGAACUGAGACACGGUCCAGACUCCUACGGGAGGCAGCAGUGGGGAAUAUUGGACAAUGGGCGAAAGCCUGAUGCAGCCAUGCCGCGUGUGUGAAGAAGGCCUUCGGAUUGUAAAGCACUUUAAGUUGGGAGGCGUUACCAACAGAAGAAGCACCGGCUAACUUCGUGCCAGCAGCCGCGGUAAUAC
rnacentral:rRNA from 1 species